rnacentral:lncRNA from 1 species
GGACCCGUAGCAAGCCAAACAUAUAUCCUAUCACCUGGUCAAAUCCCAUACAUGAUCAAAACUUUAACAUAAAAACUUAAACAUAUGAUGUAAAUACCGAGCUUGACCUGUAUGCAACAUAACUGAAAACAUCAAGAACCCCCUACUAGAGCCCUCAUCAAAACUCUAGCUGGGUCAACAUAACAUACAUCAAGCCGGAGUCACAUCCAAAGA